rnacentral:rRNA from 1 species
UACGGAAGGCAGCAGUGGGGAAUAUUGCACAAUGGGCGAAAGCCUGAUGCAGCUAUGCCGCGUGUAUGAAGAAGGCCUUAGGGUUGUAAAGUACUUUCAUCGGGGAGGAAAAACAAAACUAAUAAUUUUAUUUCUUGACGUUACCCGAAAAAGAAGCACCGGCUAACUCCGUGCCAGCAGCCGCGGUAAUACGGAGGGUGCUAGCGUUAAUCAGAAUUACUGGGCGUAAAGAGCACGUAGGUGGUUUUUUUAAAGUCAGAUGUGAAAUCCCUGGGCUUAACCUAGGAACUGCAUUUUGAAACUGAAAUACUAGAGUAUCGUAGAGGGAGGUAGAAUUCUAGGUGUAGCGGUGAAAUGCGUAGAUAUCUGGAGGAAUACCUGUGGCGAAAGCGGCCUCCUAAACGAAUACUGACACUGAGGUGCGAAAGCUGGGGAGCAAACAGGGAUUAGAUACCCGU